UAAUACGGGGGGAGCAAGCGUUGUUCGGAUUUACUGGGCGUAAAGGGCGCGUAGGCGGCCACCGCAAGUCGACUGUGAAAUCUCCGGGCUUAACCCGGAAAGGUCAGCCGAUACUGCGGGGCUAGAGUGCAGAAGGGGCAACUGGAAUUCUCGGUGUAGCGGUGAAAUGCGUAGAUAUCGAGAGGAACACCUGCGGCGAAGGCGGGUUGCUGGGCUGACACUGACGCUGAGGCGCGAAAGCUAGGGGAGCGAACGGGAUUAGAUACCCCGGUAGUCCUAGCCUUAAACGAUGAAUGCUUGGUGUCUGGGGUUUUAUAGUCCCCGGGUGCCGUCGCUAACGCUUUAAGCAUUCCGCCUGGGGAGUACGGUCGCAAGACUG
rnacentral:rRNA from 1 species